CCGGAGUUGGUGGUGGUGGAGACUUGUAUACUGGUGCAGGAUGGUGUGGUGUUGGUGAAGGAUGGUAUGGAUUCACUGGUGGUGGUGACUUGUAAACGGGUGUUGGUGGUGGUGGAGAUUUGUAUACUGGUGCAGGGUGGUAUGACUUCACUGGUGGUGGUGGUGACUGGUAAACGGGUGUUGGUGGUGGUGGAGACUUAUAAACUGGUGCAGGAUGAUAUGGCUUCACUGGUGAUGGUGGUGACUUGUAAACGGGUGUUGGUGGUGGUGGAGACUUAUAAAUUGGUGUGGGAUGAUAUGGUGUUGGUGGAGGAUAGUAUGGCCUCUUAGGUGGUGGUGGUGACUUGUAAACUGGAGUUGGUGGUGGUGGCGACUUGUACACUGGAGUGUGUGGCGGGUAGUAUGGCUUUUUGGGUGGUGGUGGGGACUUGUAAACUGGAGUUGGGGGUGGUGGAGACUUGUAAACUGGGGUGUGUGGAGGGUAGUGUGGUGGUGACUUGUAAACUGGAGUCGGGGGUGGUGGAGACUUGUAAACUGGGGUGUGUGGAGGAUAAUGUGGCUUCUUUGGUGGUGGUGGGGACUUGUAAACUGGAGUGUGUGGAGGAUAGUGUGGCUUCUUCGGUGGUGGUGGUGACUUGUAAACAGGAGUUGGUGGUGGUGGCGACUUGUGAACUGGUGCGGGAUGAUAAGGUGUUGGUGAAGGGUGGUAUGGCUUCUUAGGUGGUGGUGGAGAUUUGUAAACAG
rnacentral:lncRNA from 1 species